rnacentral:rRNA from 1 species
GACAGAGGGUGCAAACGUUGUUCGGAAUUACUGGGCGUAAAGCGUGUGUAGGCGGCCGCGUAAGUCGGAUGUGAAAGCCCUGGGCUCAACCCAGGAAGUGCACUCGAUACUGCGUGGCUUGAGUACUGGAGAGGUUGGUGGAAUUCUCGGUGUAGAGGUGAAAUUCGUAGAGAUCAUGAGGAAGACCAGUGGCGAAGGCGGGUCUCUGGACAGUUCCUGACACUGAGACACGAAGGCCAGGGGAGCAAACGGG